rnacentral:lncRNA from 1 species
GUGGUUGAGACCUUUAUGUCUUACCCUCCUCUUGGUAGAUUUGCUGUGCGUGACAUGAGGCAGACUGUUGCUGUUGGAGUCAUCAAGAGUGUGGAGAAGAAGGAUCCUACCGGAGCCAAGGUCACCAAAGCUGCCAUCAAGAAGAAAUGAACUGGGUCAGUUGGAGGUUACCGUUGUUUUGUUAGUGCAGGGUGGGUUUGUUACUGCUCUCUUGCACUUUUAAUUUUGAGUGGAGUUUUUGUUCGGAUUCGUUUUGUUCUGUUGGGCACCUGGUGUCAGAAUUGGGUGCUUGACAGGCGAUGGCAGACCAGCCCUCUACUUUUGUUGUUCUUCCUCUAUAUUUGAGUUUAUGUAUUAAAGACUAAAUUCUUGUUUUAACAGUGGUCUCAAUUCAGAGAACUUUAUUUAUGGCAAGUGAUUUUUAAGUUAAACAGGUUUAUAUGAAGCGUGACUGCUUCAAAAAUUUAUACAAGUGCUCCCUCUGUUUUUUUAUAUGACGCUUUGACUUUUGGCACACACUUUGAAGUGCUUUGACCGGGUAGUUAAAAAUAUUAUUUUUUGAAUUUUUUUUUUUGAAUAAAAAUUUUGAUUAUAUAUUGUUAUUCAAAAAAAGAAAAUUUAAAAAAUAAUAUUUUUAACUACCCGGUCAAAGCACUUAAAAGUGUGUGUCAAAAGUCAAAACGUCAUAUAAAAAAUAUAAAAAAAAACAGAGGGAGUAUAUCUCAAUUCUCAAGGCUCCUUAUGUUUCAUAAUUUAAUGUAUGAGACACCAUGGGGACUUGAUUCUUGAAUUUCUUGUUAAAAUGAGUACUCCCUCUGUCCCAUUUUAACUGCCUUUUUAGAGAGAUGCACACAAACCAAUUUUUACAUUUAUGGAGGUGUUUAUUUGAAUACUUUUACCUAGCUACCCCUAGUAAAGUCAAACUAAACCACUAUUUGUAUUGCAUAGAAAAUAUAAGGUGCAUUAAUGAGGGGUAGAAUUGAAAUUCACCUACCAAAUAGUUCACGAAAACAAGAAAAAAUCACUUAUUUUGGGACAACAACCAAAUUCUAAAAAGGCCGUUAAAAUGGGACGGAGGGAGUAUUUAAUAGUUUCGGAAAGUACAGAGUUGGCUAUGUUUUUCUCUGUUAUGUCUGAUUCUCGUCUAUCUGCCAAUGCAUUCACGGUUCCUCCGAUUCCACUAAACCUUGUAAUGAAGAUGAUUAUUAUUUUAUAUAUUUUUUAAUAACUGAUGAAUCUCCCAAGAUAUUUGUGUCAUUGAUAAAUUCCUUACCAAUAGCUCAUCACAUACUACUUGAUUAAUUUAUAAUUCAGUAUAUCUUCGGGAGGAAAUCAAAAUUAAUAUUUGUUACAUAUAUAUAAAUAUUUUAUGAAAAAAUGACUGUAAUUCUAUUAUUCUACCUGUAUAUUAUAAUUUAUGCAGACGAAAUCAUUUCAAGAGUUUCAAACGUGAAUGCACACAGCCAUUUUGCGCCGUUUAACAAUUUUAACCAACAUUAAUUAAACUUAAACAAAUAAAAUUUUCUUCAAUUACCAAAAAAACGAUUUACUUUAAUAAAUUAGCAUGGAAAAUAGUAAAUAAUGCAAAAAACAAAAAAAAAAGAAAGAAAAGAUAGAGGCCAGCAAUAGUAAAACUCUAGAACCUGCUACACACUACCGCCUAUACUUACGUCCUGCCCUUUUGCUUGAUCUCCAAGCACUGCCCAGGGGCGAAACCCGUCCAUUAAUUUACCACCCAGGUCAUUUACGUCAUUUCACAUUUGACCUUUCGUUCACUAUAUAAACAGAGCCACUGCACAACAUUUUAUCGUACACUCGCCGCAGCCUCUAGUUUAAUCAAGGGUUUUUGAUUUCUCAAUUCGGUGAGUGUAUUUAAAUCUGAAUUUUUGUCUAUGAGUUAUGUGCUUAUAUGUUUCUACUGUUUAAUCUCGUUGUAUUAGUAUGAUCGUGGUGAUUUGUUUCGAUUGUUUGAUUUAAUUUGUACGAUUAUUUAGUUUCGAUGCAUAAACCGAUGUGUUUAUUUGAGUGUGCAUAUCGUGAUUUAGCGAUUUUGUCAAAAGUUUUGAUGGAUUUGUCGAUGUUUAAUCUGAUACUUAACGAUCAUUUUGUUUCGGUUUCGAUAAAUUUAAACGGAUAAAUGUAAAUCGAUGCAGAUCAUAUAACACAGUCAUCUGAGCUCUGUGAUGUUUUGAUGUGCCUAUUUUUCUUUGUUUCGGUUUCCGUUUUUGAAAAAAUUAAACAGAAAUGUAAAUCGAUGCGGAUCAUAUUUGUACACAGUAAUUUGAACUCUGUGAUGUUUUGGUGUGCCUAGUUUACGAUCUGAGAUUAUUGAGUUUUAGCCUCCCGAUUUUUUCACGCAGUCGAGUUUUUUAAUUAGGAAUACAACUAAGCAUUUCUGUUAGCAUCGAGUGAGUGUAUUUUUGUUCGUGAUGAUGUAUGGAUUUUGUUAUAUUCGGUACAAUUUUUUUUGUCGAUUAUAGUGUUUUUCGAUUUAUUUUUUGGUUUUUUUCCCUCGUGAGUAAUUUUAUUUUAUAGAUUUAAUAUGGAUUUUGUUAUAUUCGGUAGAGUUGUUUUGUAGAUUAUAGUGUUUUUCGAUUUGUUUUUCGGUUUUUUUUCCCUCGUGAGUAAUUUUACUGUAUAGAUUUAAUGAAUUCCGAAGUUCGAAUUUGACUCAAUUAUGUCAAUAUUGAUUAGUAUCAGAUGUGCAUUUUGAAUUUUAUUUUUGCAAGUAUAUUUUCCUCUGGAUUGAUGGAAUGCUGUAAAUUUGUUACAGAAGAAGUUAGUUGCAGCUGAUAACUAUGGGAAAGGAGAAGGUUCACAUCAACAUUGUGGUCAUUGGCCAUGUCGAUUCCGGAAAAUCGACCACCACCGGUCAUCUGAUCUACAAGCUUGGCGGCAUUGACAAGCGUGUGAUUGAGAGGUUCGAGAAAGAGGCUGCUGAGAUGAACAAGCGUUCGUUUAAGUAUGCGUGGGUUCUUGACAAGCUCAAGGCUGAGAGAGAGCGUGGUAUCACUAUCGAUAUUGCAUUGUGGAAGUUUGAGACUAAUAAGUACUAUUGCACUGUCAUUGAUGCCCCUGGGCACAGGGAUUUUAUUAAGAAUAUGAUUACGGGGACUUCUCAGGCUGAUUGUGCUGUUCUUAUUAUUGAUUCGACUACUGGGGGUUUUGAAGCGGGUAUUUCUAAGGAUGGACAGACUCGUGAGCAUGCGUUGCUUGCUUUCACACUUGGUGUGAAGCAGAUGAUUUGCUGUUGCAAUAAGGUAACUGAUACCUGGCUAGUUUUUUUUAAUUAAGUUGUUUGUAUUGAAAUUUGUUAAUUACUAGUGAGAGUAUUGAUUUUGGUUUUUGUGUAGAUGGAUGCUACGACUCCCAAGUACUCAAAGGGUAGGUUUGAAGAAAUUGUGAAGGAGGUGUCAUCGUACUUGAAGAAGGUGGGAUACAAUCCUGAUAAGAUUGCUUUCAUCCCCAUCUCUGGAUUUGAAGGCGACAAUAUGAUUGAGAGGUCUACCAACCUUGACUGGUACAAGGGUCCAACUCUUCUUGAGGCUCUUGAUCAGAUCACUGAGCCAAAGAGGCCCUCUGAUAAGCCUCUUCGUCUUCCGCUUCAGGAUGUUUACAAGAUUGGAGGCAUUGGAACUGUCCCUGUUGGACGUGUCGAGACUGGAACCAUCAAGCCUGGUAUGGUUGUGACUUUUGGCCCAUCUGGGUUGACUACUGAAGUCAAAUCUGUUGAGAUGCACCAUGAGGCUCUUCAGGAAGCCCUUCCAGGUGACAAUGUUGGGUUCAAUGUGAAGAAUGUUUCUGUUAAAGAUCUCAAACGUGGUUAUGUUGCCUCGAACUCUAAAGAUGAUCCUGCCAAGGAGGCUGCCAAUUUCACUUCUCAAGUUAUCAUCAUGAACCAUCCUGGGCAGAUUGGAAAUGGAUAUGCACCUGUGCUUGACUGUCACACUUCCCACAUUGCUGUCAAGUUUUCUGAACUUUUGACCAAGAUAGACAGGCGUUCUGGUAAGGAGCUUGAGAAGGAGCCCAAGUUCUUGAAGAAUGGUGAUGCAGGGAUGGUUAAGAUGGUUCCUACCAAGCCCAUGGUUGUUGAAACUUUUUCAGAGUAUCCUCCCCUUGGAAGGUUUGCUGUUAGGGACAUGAGGCAGACUGUGGCAGUGGGAGUCAUCAAGAAUGUGGAGAAGAAAGAGCCCACUGGAGCAAAGAUCACAAAAGCUGCUGCCAAGAAAAAAUGAACCGUGCAGGACCUGCCUUCCAUCUUGGGGGGCUGUUACCAUAAUAAAGGCUUGGUUUCUAUGUUCAGUAUCUUUACUUGUCUAGUUUGUCGUGCGGUCUGUUUCUUUUUAGGUUUGUGUCAUGUGGUUGUUCCGUCAACUGGUACUUGGUCCGAGCACUGGGUACUUGAUCGGCGGUGGCGUGGUCAUUAUCCUUUGUCUUUUAGUAUGUUUUCUUUCUGAAUUUCGUGAUGUUGCCUGUGGACUUAAGUGGAUUUAUGGAAUUAUUCAAGCCUGCUUAGUUAUUUUAAAUCUGUUGGAUAUUCUGUGCAUGUGUUAACUAUAUGCCCUUGUUUAAUUUUCUUGUCAUAAUCCCGGUUCUCGAUUAUAAUUUUUAUUUUUAUAGUCUGGUUGAUAGUGUUUCUGAAGCCUUUAGUUCAGAUUUCAUAAAGGAGUAUCAUAGUUUGAUUUGACUCGAAGGGUGGCUUUUACUAUUAAAUUUUUUGUAUGUAUAGUUGUAGAAGUUUGUCCGAAAGCUGGCAAAAGAUUUUCUGCAAUUUACUGUCCCCUGUCAAAGGCUUUUAUGUUGUAGUAUAAUCAAUAUCGUUUUCGAUCAUCCUGUGUAUUGUUGUUUAUGAAUUUUGCAUGCCAUGCCUACAUAUGAUCAAAUCUGAAUGUCUUCUUUUUAAUGUGAAACGUCUUUCGUGUGAUGAACCAUUCUAAUGUGUCUGUUUCAUGUGCUAUUUUCUGUUUCUAUAACGCAAAUCAAGUCUCAUAGUUCAUGCUCCUAUAAACAAAAUCCUGACAAAUUGGGAUAUUCAGUGGUUCUACAAAAGCACCACUGCUCGAGGACACAAAUUCUUGCGAACUCCUGGGAAUACAGAGCCUUGUUAUGACAGUGUUCAGUGUCCACAAAAAUGAAGCUCUCAUUGUCUGUAUUGUCUAGGUAAUUUCAAGUAGGGUUCACUAUUGUCUUUCUGUUAUGUUACUGUCUUACUGAUAGAGAAUGAUGUUAUGCACUAUUGAAUUAGUGAAAGUAGGACAGUGAGGGAUGCAAUUUGAGAUGAGUAUUUUAGCUCGACUCAAGCUCUCUGAGUUUGAACAAAAUUUUCGACUCGAUUAAACCUCGAGAUGAGUUUUUCGAGCUCGAACUGACUAGGCUGACUUGAUUAUAUUUUUAUAUAUUUUUCAUUUUUUGAUCAAUAUAUGUGUUCUUUAUAUGUUACACAUUUACACUAGAUAUUUAUGUUUUUAAUUUGUUUAUUAAUAACUUGAUUUUUAUUUUCAUAUAUUACUUGUAUCAUUAUAUCUAUUUAAAUUAUAAAAUUGAACGAGUUUGAAUAUAUAAUUAUGAUAUGAAGUAUUUUUAAUUUAUUUAGUAAUACACUCUUAAUUUCUUAAAAUAAGUUUCAUAAAUUAUUAUAAGAAUACUUAGAUAAAAAUAUUGAAAUUAGUGUGAUGUUAGAAGCAUCUUUUUGAUAAAUUUAGAAAGAAAGUUGCCACGUCUUCAAGGUGAUAAGCCCGCCCUUAGUUAUUUGAAAUGUAAUUUGUUGUGAAUAUUAUGGACAGGACUUGCAGACAUUUAGCGAAAAAGAUUAAUUUUUUUUUUUUCUGUGUGUCAACUUCAUCCCCUGUUGAGGUGCAUCAUGGGAAAAACAGAUAUUAAUUUAUGACAAAUUAUCUUUACAAAAAAUCAAAAACUAAAUUUGGAAGAAUAGUAUUACAUAUAUACUGGUAAGGAGUUAUUGGACAUAGAAUUUUAUAGGCAGUUGGAUGAUGUAUCCAACGGCUGAGAUUAUAACAAAAUUUUGUCAUAUUUCUUAUUUUUUCCCCGUUAGAGCAUCUCCAAGGGUCUUAUUUAUAUUUGUUAGCUAUAAUAUGAUAUAUAAAUAAUCAUCUAAAAUUAUAGCUAAGAGGUUCUAGUUUCACUCCAAUGGCAUUAUGUAUAAUUAUAUUAUCUAAAAUUAUACAUAAUAGCUUUAGAUGUUUUACAAAUGUAGCAACCCCAAUUUUAGUUAUCUAUAUUUUUUUGCUAAGGGGUCAUGGUUGGAGUGUAGAAUUUUUACCUAUUGUCUAAAAUGUGCCACAUAGAUGCCAUGUAGGUGCCACAUAAACACUUUUACCUAAGAGGUCUAAUGCCUUGGAGUUGCUCUUAGAGCAUCUCCAACGGGAUGCAUCUGUUAGGUAUAAUGUCUAGCUGUCAUGUUCGGGUUUAAAAAUAUACAUAACAGGUGCAAAACAGACUACUCCAACACAGUAACCUCUUAGCAAUAAUUUUAGAUAACGUAAAACACGCACGUUACAUUUGUUGAUUGAAAACCCAUCAUCUAUAUUAUUUCCACGUCAUUUUCCUUUAAAAUGUACCCUACUUCUAUACUUUUGUCAUUCAUUUAUAUUUAAUAAUUAUAUUACAUAUAUUAGUAUUAUAAUUUUAUAUUAUAGAUUUAAUUUAAUUUAAAUUUAGUUUUGUCCAAUUUCUUUAUGAUGAUAAUAAAGUUAAAUUUAAUUAUUAAUAUUGUAAAUUUUAAAUUAAAUUAUAAAAGAGGACAUAUUUUAAUAUUUAUUAAAAAAAACUUUAUAAAUACAAAUAUUUGUAUAUAAUAUUUGUGUUAAAAGUAAUCUCUCAUUUUUGUUUGUGAAAUUUACAGCGUUUUGAGUUAUAUGAAAAAUAUAUUUUUUUAUGUGAAAAUAAUUUAUAUGUUAUUUAAAUAUAAAAAUAAAAUGUGAUAUACACAUGAGCUGGAUAUAUAGUCACAUAUGAUUUUACAAAAAUAUUAUCUUGCUCUUGAAAUUUUAUUUUAACUAAUAAAAAUAACAUAUAUCCUUGUAUAAAAACUUGAUUUGAUUAAAUUCAGACAAUAAUUAUAAGAAAUAAUAAUAAGAAAUAAUUAUAAUAAUAUGAAAUAAUUAUUUAAUUGAAUUUAUAAGAAAGUUAUUUAUGAAACUUAUUCACAAUAAUUAAUUAUUAUUUUAAAAUAUAAUUAUUAGAAUAUGAAAAUAACAAAAUAACCGAAUUUUAAAAUAUAGCUAACCAUUUGGCUAACAUUGGAGGAAAAAGCUUACAGGUUGAGCAAAUUUUUAAUAAUCAUCUAUAUUUACAUUUUUAGCUAACAGUUAUAGAAAUCUCCGUUGGAGAUAGCUCUUAGAAUAGAUAAAAUAUUCCUUUCGUUGGUCUGCAAAUAACCAUUUUAGGCAAAUUUUAAGAUGUUCCUCAGCACUUUCUGCCUUGAUAUCCAAGUAAAAAGCAAAUAAACCAGCCAAAAAUUUUCAUAAUCAUACAAUACCAACUCUAAAAAAUCUGGUAUACAAGUCAAGUAGUACAAUUCUAGAACCUACUUAACGUGCCAAGAUCUUUUUGCUUGGCCUUCAAGAACUGUACGAGGUCAAUCACCCAGAAUAUUAUUGUCCAUUCAUUUUUUAAGCUUUUUAUUCCUCUAUAAAAACAGAGCCACCCCUUAAGUCUUUAUUAGCUUUUGCAGAGCACUCUGUUUGAUAAGGCUUUUUGCAACCUGACGCUCCUCUCUUCGGUCAGUAUAUAUUUUAUCUCUCGUUCAUGCUUUCAUAUGUUUUGGCUGAUCAUUUAGUUUUAGUAGCUAGACUAUUUUAUUGUUUAAAAUUUUAGCUUAGAUUUUGGUUUUAGUUAGUCCCGGCUGAUGAAAUUUAGAAAUUUUGUUGUUGUUUUUUAGUUUAAAUUUUGAACUAAUUAUUUUAGGCUACAUAUGCGUUUAUUUGUAAAAAUCAAGAGUAACUCAUGACCCCAGAUCAAUGGUUUGAUAGAAUAGUUGUUUAGUUGCAUAUCGAGAUGAAAUUUUUUGAUUGGAGAUGGGAUUAUAACUUUGACACUCUCUCACUCGAAAGUCUUUUAUAGUGUCCACAUGUAAUUGAUCAAUUUGAAAUUCGGAUGAACUCUGAUACCAUGUUAAAGAAUUUGACUCGUUAGUCUGGUUUUAUAUACAAGAGUGUUUUCCUAUUUGUGGUGAUAAUUAGAUGAUCUGUAGUUAGGGAUUACAUGAUAAUUACAUAUUGAAGACAAGGAAUUACAAAGAUCACAACAUAAUUAUGAUUAUAAUAUCCAAUUCAAUAAUUUGCAUACUGCAUUCUAAUUUAAACAACUCUAAGAGUGUUUCAUACUUUUUCUUAGUUUCUAGCAAGUUAGCAGCUGAGCACUAUGGGCAAGGAGAAGGUUCACAUCAACAUUGUGGUCAUUGGCCAUGUCGAUUCUGGAAAGUCGACUACUACUGGUCAUCUCAUCUACAAGCUUGGCGGUAUUGACAAGCGUGUGAUUGAGAGGUUUGAGAAAGAAGCUGCUGAGAUGAACAAGCGUUCGUUUAAGUAUGCAUGGGUUCUUGACAAGCUCAAGGCUGAGAGAGAGCGUGGUAUCACUAUUGAUAUUGCUCUGUGGAAGUUUGAGACUAAUAAGUACUAUUGCACUGUCAUUGAUGCCCCUGGACACAGGGAUUUUAUUAAGAAUAUGAUUACGGGGACUUCUCAGGCUGAUUGUGCUGUUCUUAUCAUUGAUUCGACUACUGGAGGUUUUGAAGCGGGUAUUUCUAAGGAUGGACAGACUCGUGAGCACGCGUUGCUUGCUUUCACACUUGGUGUGAGACAGAUGAUUUGCUGCUGCAACAAGGUAUUUGAAUGUGGCUACUUAGAUGGCUGCUCACACUAAAAUAUGGUCUAGUGAAAUUUGAUAUAUGAUUUUCCUCUUCUUGUAGAUGGAUGCCACAACUCCCAAGUACUCCAAGUCUAGGUACGAUGAAAUUGUGAAGGAGGUGUCAUCUUAUCUGAAGAAGGUGGGGUACAAUCCUGAUAAGAUUGCGUUCAUUCCUAUCUCUGGAUUUGAAGGCGACAACAUGAUUGACAGGUCUACCAACCUUGACUGGUACAAGGGUCCUACUCUUCUUGAAGCCCUUGAUCAGAUCAAUGAGCCAAAGAGGCCCUCUGAUAAGCCCCUUCGUCUCCCACUUCAGGAUGUCUACAAGAUUGGAGGUAUUGGAACUGUGCCUGUUGGGCGUGUUGAAACUGGUGUGAUCAAGCCUGGUAUGGUUGUGACUUUUGGCCCUUCUGGAUUGACCACUGAAGUCAAGUCAGUCGAGAUGCACCACGAGGCUCUCCAAGAGGCUCUUCCUGGUGACAAUGUUGGGUUUAAUGUGAAGAAUGUUGCUGUUAAGGACCUCAAGCGUGGCUAUGUCGCCUCAAACUCUAAAGAUGAUCCUGCCAAGGAGGCUGCCAACUUCACUUCUCAAGUCAUCAUAAUGAACCACCCAGGGCAGAUAGGAAAUGGAUAUGCACCUGUGCUUGACUGUCACACUUCCCACAUUGCUGUCAAGUUUGCUGAACUUUUGACCAAGAUAGACAGGCGGUCUGGUAAGGAGCUUGAGAAGGAACCCAAGUUCCUAAAGAAUGGUGAUGCAGGAAUAGUUAAGAUGAUUCCUACCAAGCCUAUGGUGGUUGAAACAUUUGCUGAGUAUUCUCCUCUUGGUAGGUUUGCUGUUAGGGAUAUGAGGCAGACUGUGGCUGUUGGAGUCAUUAAGAGUGUGGAGAAAAAAGAGCCCACAGGAGCGAAGAUCACAAAAGCUGCUGCCAAGAAGAAAUGAACCGUGCAGGAUGCGCCCUCUAUCUUGGGUGGAUGUUACCAUAUUUAUAAU